GGAGGGAGGCCCUUAGAUCAGUGGUAGAAUGUCUGCUUUGCAUGCAUAAGGUUCCUGGUUCAAUCCCAGGCACCUCCA